rnacentral:lncRNA from 1 species
UUGCUGUAAAUUGACUUUAUUAUGUUAUGCCCCUUAUAUAUCUAGUCUUUCUAGGACUUUAAUAGUAAAGGGAUGUUGGAUUUUUUUUUUUUUUGUCAUAGGUCUUUUCUGCAUCAAAUGGUUUUUAUGUGCUUGAGUCUACAAACAAGAUAUUUGAUCUGCUUGUUUUCCUACUACUUACUGAAAACGUAUUGCUUUUGUUCCUUGCAUCAAAUAGGAACAAAAACAAAACUCUAAGGCAUUCUUAUAGGUAAAUAAGGUUUAAAUUCCAGGCCACAAUUUAGGAACUGAAUUUUAGGAACUAAAGUAUUCUCAGUUUGAGGAAAAAUAUAUUUCUACUAAGAGAUUUCUGAAUACCUUCAAAUUUCAAUAUAACUUUCUAAAAUUUCUAUUCUUUGUACAGUAAGGGUUAGGACACACUGGUCUCUGUGAUACAGUCUGGGAAUUAUAAUCACCUCUGCUUCUUUUUAAGGUAUCCUCAUCUGAGUCCCAAGUACAAGGAAUCUUUCGAUGUGGGCUGUAAUCUCUUUGCCAAAUUUUCUGCGUACAUUAAGAAUACACAAAAGGAAGCAAAUAAGAAUUUUGAAAAAUCUCUGCUUAGAGAAUUUAAACGUUUGGAUGACUACUUAAAUACCCCACUUCUGGAUGAAAUUGAUCCUGACAGCACCGAGGAACGUACACUUUCCAGAAGACUGUUCUUGGAUGGGGAUCAACUAACACUGGCUGACUGUAGUUUGUUGCCCAAACUGAACAUUAUUAAA